GAUGAACGCUGGCGGCGUGCCUAAUACAUGCAAGUCGAGCGGACAGACGAGGAGCUUGCUCCUCUGACGUUAGCGGCGGACGGGUGAGUAACACGUGGAUAACCUACCUAUAAGACUGGGAUAACUUCGGGAAACCGGAGCUAAUACCGGAUAAUAUAUUGAACCGCAUGGUUCAAUAGUGAAAGACGGUUUUGCUGUCACUUAUAGAUGGAUCCGCGCCGCAUUAGCUAGUUGGUAAGGUAACGGCUUACCAAGGCAACGAUGCGUAGCCGACCUGAGAGGGUGAUCGGCCACACUGGAACUGAGACACGGUCCAGACUCUUACGGGAGGCAGCAGUAGGGAAUCUUCCGCAAUGGGCGAAAGCCUGACGGAGCAACGCCGCGUGAGUGAUGAAGGUCUUCGGAUCGUAAAACUCUGUUAUUAGGGAAGAACAAAUGUGUAAGUAACUAUGCACGUCUUGACGGUACCUAAUCAGAAAGCCACGGCUAACUACGUG
rnacentral:rRNA from 1 species